AUGAUGGUAGAAUCGACUUCGCACUCCUGAAAGCCGUUUAGGCUGUUGUGCAACCGUGUUGAGCCGGCGAACGUUCGAAAGAGGGAAGAAAGAAUGCCGGCAAUCCAACUAAACGAUGUUCGAUCAUGGAAAAUAAGUUACAAAGCAUACAAAGCUCGCUCGCCGUUGGAUGCUUGGACAAUUCCUUUUACAAGCAUUCGGUGACCAGUUUGCGUAACGUCUUGUCGCACG